CGGGACGUGGCGCAGCCUGGUAGCGCACCUGCUUUGGGAGCAGGGGGUCGGGAGUUCAAAUCUCCCCGUCCCGACGA
rnacentral:tRNA from 1 species